UACUGAUAUCCAUAGGGGUCUAUAGGGAUGUCUCACUACGCGUGAACCAACAUUCAACCUUGUCAACUAACUGGCCGUCUCCAUACUCUGUCUGAUAUGAGUGCCAAAAAUAUCAUCCCUCAAUACCCCGUCCGGUAUGAGAGUGAAACGGACCGUCCCCAUACCCCGUCUGGUAUGAGCUCUAAAAAUACCAAUCCUUGAUACCCCAUCCGGUAUGAGGCGACGUUCACGGUAGUGUUCCUAUGUAUCCGGUCCGUUCACCAUCUCUGAGAAUAUCCAGUAAGGCUCUCAUUCAUUCACUUACUUAACCAAUCAAUUUUCUGUUUACCUUUAAUUUUCAGUUUCACAAUUUAACUGUAAAUCAACGCAAGAC
rnacentral:lncRNA from 1 species